ensembl:lncRNA
GCUUUACAUUCUUCCACACGGCAGUGACGGCACAUGAACGCAACACAAACAAACCUGGAGGAGAGUGAACGUGACAAUUCUGAUUAGGAGAAGGACUCCCACGACCACCGAAGACAAAGUGCUGUGCUGCAUGUCUCUGUUCGGGAGCCCCAGAGGUCAUCUCCCUCUGUGUCAUCACAACCUCAGCCUCCUCACAGCUCCUGGCCCCAACGCGGCGACCCCACGCAGAGAGGGCGUUCCUUCUCUCCUCGCCGUGUCCAUCCGGUGAAAUGACACGCCGGCGACACAAUGGAGACCGCUGCUAUCGUCUCCACACAGAGUGGUCCAGAAGCCACAUCUGCUCCCAAAUACCCUAGACAAUAAACAAUUCGCUC